AACGGAGGGUCCGUCUUUUCAACUUUUCUCCAAUACUAUAGAGCCAUUACCAUGUCAAUCAACGCUUGAAUAGAAACAUAGUUCACACAUUUGUACGGAAUGGGGUGAGUUUACGUUAGCUAGUGGAUAGCCCAGAGACGUGACCAGAUGAAUGAACUCACCAAUGAUGAAAAGCAUCUAGUGCUCAUUGCCAAGAUAGCUGGUUCCAUGAACGUCUGCAAGGAAACAAUCAGCUCAAAAAGGAGAAAACAAAAAGGAAACAUCAGAGGACAUCAUUUUUCCUUGAUAGUCAGCAAAUCUGCAGAGAAACAUUCAAAUUCUUACACAUAUAAGCUGACUGCAGUGAUUAAAUUCUACAAGGAAAAUGGCGUGGCUUCAAGGAAGAAGAGGUGUGGUGGUCGUCGUCACGCCAGUAAAAGGGUGAUUGUCUUAUGAGGAUAUUCAGCGAAUUGUUCACUUUGUCAAAAACGUUGAUGUUCACGCGAUGUCGCUCUUAGGAUGGAUCCCUGGAAUUAAGAGGGCAGACAUCCAGGUGCUACUGACAUUUUAGACCAAGUCCUCUGUGUGGCGCAGGUACAAAACUUUUUGAUGCGUGAUCAUGUUGAGUGUUUUCCUAAAUCCAACAUUCAACAUCUCAAGCAAGUGGGCCAGCGGCAAAGACUAACCAAUGCCCACACGAAUCGGAUCCAAAUAGGCCAUCAGUCAUUACUCUCUGGUGACGUGUGUGGUCAUAUUUUCUUUAACAUUUCGAAUUGAUUUGCUGUUUAGAGAGAACAGAGCUUACUCUGACCCUGUUUAGCUCUCAGCCCCUCCAUCCCCUUUCCUGUUUUUAUUUCUUUUCAGAUGUUUACUCUGUGCGGUGUUCAUAAAAAUGCAGGUCCUGGGUACAUCUACAUACUGUAUGCUGUACCCAGGGAAAAAAUGUGUUUGAGUAUAGGCUGUACACUUUUUCUGUUACAUGUAUUUAUAAGAGACGUCAUUUAACGUGGGAAUUUCUUAUGUAUUUAUCCUCCCUAGUCUUAUCUUCGAAUGUAAUCUGACAUGGAAAAACAACAGGGCAAGGGCCAGAACCAUAUGUGCAAGGACUACACGGGGUGCGGACAUUUGUACAUGCAUGUGCGCGUACACAUGAACACAAACACGUGCACACUGCGUGUAGUCCUCGCACAUACUGUAUCAUGGCAUGAACAUGUGCGGUGUGAGUUUUUCGAUGUCAUACAUAUGUAUCUGCAUGUACUGUAUAUGUGCAAAUAAGUGAAUGUAACCAAUACAUUCUGAUGCUUGUAUGUGUACACACGUAUGUGUGCACGCAUACACAUGCAAAUGUACACAUAUACGUGUUUGCGGACAACUAUGCAACAGACACUAUGUCUGCAGUUUUGUAUUAAGUAAAUAGUUGUUAGUCAUUAUUUGAAUAA